AUGCCAGGGGGGUGCACGUGCAGUUCCUUCAGCUUGGGCACGGUGCCGUACAGGCAGUCCACGAAGCCCACGGCGCAGGGGGGCGGGCGGUCGCGGUCCCGGGGGGCUCCGCCCGCCGCCGCCGCCGCCGCCCCCGGCCCCCCGGCGCCGGCCGCCAGCCCUCCGCCCGCGGGAUGCUGCGGGUGGGCGGCCACGAUGGUGUUGAGCUGCGAGCUGGACACGGCCAGGCUCCACUCCUGCUCCUUCUCCAGCAAGGUCCUUCCCAUGGAAGUGGAAGGGGGUCUCGCAGGUGAUGUCCCCCACCAGGGCGGUGUAGGGGAUGCGCUCCAGCCAGCUCUUCAGCUGCACGAUCUCACACGUACAGUUCCACGGGUUCUCCUCCAGCUGAAUCUCCAUCAGGCUCCUGCCAAUAUGGUCCAACAUCCCACGGUACGAAAGGACUUUUAACCUGUUCCCACGCAAGUCCAAGUGGGUUAAGGACACGGACUUAAAUAGGUUGGUGGGAAGCAUGGGGAUCAGAUUGUCAUUUAGGAUAAGGACCCUCAAUUUACUUAGGUUUCGAAAUGCCCCGCUUUCAAUCCGCUUAAUGACAUUGUAAUCUGCCUGCAGAUAUUCCAGACUUUCCAAACCCAGGAAAGUGUCGUUUCUGAAAAUGUCCAAUUUGUUUUCGUGCAAAUACAACCUCUUCAGAACUCGGAGCCCAUUAAAAGCCCCCGUCUGAAUGUCCUGCAGUGCAUUGUUCCCAAGGUUAAUAGACACAGCAUUGUUCAAAUGAAGAAAACUGUUGGUGUACAAUUUCCUCAUGGAAUUCCUCUGCAGAUAAAGUUUAAAAGGUCUCGACCAUGACUCUGUUAUCUGACUAAUAUUUAUAAAUCCUUUGUUGUCGCAAUGUAUAUGGAAAAUGCUCUCCUUCACUUCACAGUAACAUGGAUCAAAGCAGGGUUCAUCAAGUUCCUCCGAGUCCUCUAUCAAGGGAAUUGGUGUAGUCCAUGCUAGAGCAAUUGUGCUUAGAAGAAUUAUCCACAACAUCCUUCCUUUAUGAAGCGUCUCUGCCGAGGAAGGUUUCAUCAUUUGUUGACGUUUACAAAACUGCAACGGGAAAAAAAAUGCAGAUUUUCAGUAUUUCUCUCCUGCCCUGCUCCUUUUACCAAGCCCCUACCUGCUAGACUUGUGUUAGACUCCUGGAAAGUUCAGCAACUGUUGGGUAGACGUUCACAAUAAACUCUAGGGCUGUCGGUUGUGCGAGCCUUGC
rnacentral:lncRNA from 1 species